UACCAGCACCCCGAGUGGUCGGGACGAUUAUUGGGCCUAAAGCAUCCGUAGCCGGUCAUGCAAGUCUUCCGUUAAAUCCAGCCGCUCAACGGUUGGGCUGCGGAGGAUACUACGUGGCUAGGAGGCGGGAGAGGCAAGCGGUACUCAGUGGGUAGGGGUAAAAUCCUGUAAUCCUUCGGGGAGGACCAGUGGCGAAGGCGCUACACUAGAACGGCUCUGACAGUGAGGGACGAAGCCCUGGGGCGCAAACCGG
rnacentral:rRNA from 1 species